rnacentral:rRNA from 1 species
GAUGAACGCUGGCGGCGUGCCUAAUACAUGCAAGUCGAGCGAACAGACGAGGAGCUUGCUCCUCUGACGUUAGCGGCGGACGGGUGAGUAACACGUGGAUAACCUACCUAUAAGACUCGGAUAACUUCGGGAAACCGGAGCUAAUACCGGAUAAUAUAUUGAACCGCAUGGUUCAAUAGUGAAAGACGGUUUUGCUGUCACUUAUAGAUGGAUCCGCGCCGCAUUAGCUAGUUGGUAAGGUAACGGCUUACCAAGGCAACGAUGCGUAGCCGACCUGAGAGGGUGAUCGGCCACACUGGAACUGAGACACGGUCCAGACUCCUACGGGAGGCAGCAGUAGGGAAUCUUCCGCAAUGGGCGAAAGCCUGACGGAGCAACGCCGCGUGAGUGAUGAAGGUCUUCGGAUCGUAAAACUCUGUUAUUAGGGAAGAACAAAUGUGUAAGUAACUAUGCACGUCUUGACGGUACCUAAUCAGAAAGCUACGGCUAACUACGUG